rnacentral:SRP_RNA from 2 species
GCCGGGCGUGGUGGCGGGCGCCUGUAAUCCCAGCUACUCGGGAGGCUGAGGCAGGAGAAUCGCUUGAGCUCGGGAGGUUGCAGUGAGCUGAGAUGGCACCAUUCCACUCCAGCCUGGGCAACACAGUGAGACUCCGUCUUUA